rnacentral:lncRNA from 1 species
UACUGUGUGUGACAGACGCUUCUGAACAAAUAAUGUUUAUGAGAUGCUCGCUUAAUGGCUCCAUAUAAGUGGAAUUAAAGGCCAGGAUUUAGUUCUUUAUGUAAAAAAAUAAGUAAAACAGUUCUUGGAUUAAAUUUGAAAUUUUUUUCGCAACAAAAAUGAAGCUAUUGGGCUUUGUUAUAUUGAUUGCAUGUCUCUUUGCUGUUUUGAAUGCUGAUGAUGAUAUGGGCUGCAAAGAGAAGCGUGCUAGAGCCAAGGCAUUAUAUAAAAACAGCGUUCCAGAUAUUCCUAUUGCAAUGUGCAAUUCAGAUGGUACCUAUGCCAAAAAACAAUACACUAGCAUGGGUAAGUGCUACUGCGCUGAUUCAGAAGGAAAUCCAAUUGAUGGCCAAGAGUGCCCAUGUGAAUAAAAAAUCGCAACUGGAAUUAUUUGAAUAAAUUUAUUCCUGUUUAAUAACAA